AUGGAAACAGCAACUAACUAUGGCUCUUGACCUAGACAACGUCCUAGGCGUAGGGGAGAUCAAAACAAGAAGUCACGCCUAGACGACGACGCCCGUCCUGGGCUACUCUGGCGAGCGAUCCUAGUCCGUGGCAGGGAACAAGAUAGCAAGCGAGCGUACCUUUGUUCGCUUCUUUUCCACCAAGCACAGAAGUUUAAUGAGAACUGUAGGUCGGUGGCUACCUAA
rnacentral:rRNA from 1 species